rnacentral:rRNA from 1 species
GUAGGGAAUCUUGGGCAAUGGGCGAAAGCCUGACCCAGCGAUGCCGCGUGUGUGAAGAAGGCCUUAGGGUUGUAAAGCACUUUCAGCAGCGAAGAAAGGCCGGGGGUUAAUAGCUCCACGGUUUUGACGUUAACUGCAGAAGAAGUACCGGCUAACUCCGUGCCAGCAGCCGCGGUAAUACGGAGGGUACGAACGUUAAUCGGAAUUACUGGGCGUAAAGCGCGCGUAGGUGGUUCGGUAAGUGGGAUGUGAAAGCCCCGGGCUCAACCCGGGAACUGCAUUGCAAACUGCCGGGCUAGAGUAUGGUAGAGGGAGGUAGAAUUUCCUGUGUAGCGGUGAAAUGCGUAGAUAUAGGAAGGAAUACCGGUGGCGAAGGCGGCCUCCUGGACCAAUACUGACACUGAGGUGCGAAAGCGUGGGGAGCAAACAGG